rnacentral:rRNA from 1 species
CUCCGUAUAUCUGUUGUCACCAGUAACGCCCUUAUGCGCCGUCGUCCGGCAUGUACGGAUAGACGCGGUAAUUCUGCUUGUAAUACGUGUGAAACCGCCGUGCGGCUGUGUCGCCCCUCACGGGGUGACUCGCCCUAUACCGGCUGGGGUCCCAAGGCAACCAAUCCCGCCCUAGGCGGGGGUGGAGUCCGAGGGACAGCACCAAAGAAGGCCCUCGAGGCUCUCUUAAGCGCUGGGCUUCAGACCUAUCAACUGUGGAGGCUGGGUAAGGUCCAGCCUCGGUGAUAACGGGUACAGAGGAUCAGGGUUCGGUCCUGGAGAGGUAGCCUGAGAGAUAGCUACUACUUCUAAGGAAGGCAGCAGGCGCGCAACGUUCCCAAUGGUUCCACACCUAGUGGCUGAGGACGUUAAGGGACAUAACAAUGCCUUGCCCGAUAAGGGCGGGGUAAUUGUAAUGGGGGCGUUCUAAACCCCCCACCGAGUAGCAAUUGGAGGACAAGUCUGGUGCCAGCACCCGCGGUAAUUCCAGCUCCAAUAGCAUCUAAUUGAGUUGUUGCAGUUAAAACGCUCGUAGUCAGAGUCGGCCGGCGCCGACCCUGCGAGUAGGCAGCCCUCCGGUUCGCCGGAGAGCCACCCAAAGCAGGGAACUGGCCCGGUCAUAAUGGUGUCAGGCGGGUCCGCCCGCCUGCUCGCCGUUUUACUUUGAGGAAAUGUGAGCGCUCUAAGCAGCCCCUUAGGGGCCUGAAGCCUGCAGCAAAGAAUAAUACAACACGGCCACGUGGUGUAUUGGUUACGCGCCGCAUGGCAAUGAUCAAUAGGGGAGAUCGGGGCCGGCCUCAUGGCGGGGGUAGGGGUGAAAUCCGUUGAUCCUCGCCAGGAGAACAAAAGCGAAAGCAGCCGGCAAGUACUCUUUCUUUGAUCAAGAACGAAAGUCUGGGGAUCGAAGAUGAUCAGAUACCAUCGUAGUCCAGACCCUAAAUGCUGCCGACCAUGGAUGGGCAUCAGUCCGUCCCGACCCGGCCCGCACCUUGUGAGAAAUCAUAAGUGUUUGGGCUCCGGGGGGAGUAUGGUCGCAAGACUGAAACUUAAAGGAAUUGACGGAAGAGCACACAAGGAGUGGAGCCUGCGGCCUAAUUUGACUCAACACGGGGAAACUCACGAGUGCAAGAGAGGGGUAUGAAGCCCGGCAUGAAUUGCCUGGCUGAUUCCUUCAGUGGUGGUGCAUGGUCGUUCUUAGUUCGUGGAGUGAUUUGUCUGGUCUAUUCCGCUAACGAGCGAGAACCCGCCUUCUGGUUGUUGCCCUCCCUACGCCGAGCUUCUGCGGCUGUCCCUCGGUACAUCGAUCCUUCGGGGUCCCUAAGGCCUUGGGGUAGCGGGUCGCUCACUAUGUGUGUAGGGGGCGGGGCCUGCAAGGUGUCCCGGCGAUAAGCCGGGGAUAUGGGUCAAUAACAGGUCAGUGAUGCCCUUAGAUGUACUCGGCUGCACGCGCGCUACAAUGGGAGGCACAACGGGUCUUCCGCACCUAUAGGUCGCGGAGAAUCCUUGUAACGCCGCCCACAUCCGGGAUUGCAGCAUGUAAUAUGCUGCAUGAACACGGAAUUUCUAGUAGUCACGGUUCACCAGACCGUGGCGAUUCUGUCCCUGCUCUUUGUACACACCGCCCGUCGCUCCUACCGAUUGGGCUGCGGGGUGAAAUAGGAGGACCCCCAGAAUAUUCUGCGCGCCGGCUCGCCCGGCCGUGGGCAAUCUCUUGAACCCUGUGGUCUAGAGGAAGGAGAAGUCGUAACA